UACGAAGGGAGCUAGCGUUGUUCGGAAUCACUGGGCGUAAAGCGCACGUAGGCGGAUUGCUAAGUCAGGGGUGAAAUCCCGGGGCUCAACCUCGGAACUGCCUUUGAUACUGACAAUCUCGAGUCCGGAAGAGGUGGGUGGAAUUCCUAGUGUAGAGGUGAAAUUCGUAGAUAUUAGGAAGAACACCGGUGGCGAAGGCGGCCCACUGGUCCGGUACUGACGCUGAGGUGCGAAAGCGUGGGGAGCAAACAGG
rnacentral:rRNA from 1 species